rnacentral:tRNA from 4 species
GGGGGUUUAGCUCAGCUGGGAGAGCACCUGCCUUGCAAGCAGGGGGUCAGCGGUUCGAUCCCGCUAACCUCCACCA